rnacentral:lncRNA from 10 species
UUUUGGUGCUGUGAUGGGUCAAAAGCCUGAGUCAGAUUACAUGUAUAUAAAUUACCUAGUAACGAGCAUGACCUCUGUCCAAGCAGAAGGCAAGCAGGGGAGAAGAUUUAGCUGCUCAACUACAGUUAUUCUCUCAACCCAAGCUAAGGUAGUUGGUGCCAUACAUUUCCCACAGGACUACUAUUUUCCAAUAUCAACAUCUUUAAUUUAUUUAUUUAUUUUUGUUUUAGUGCACUAGCUGGAAGUUUCGAUAUAAUGUUAAAUACAAAGGAUGAGAGUAAAUAUUCUUACAUUUUUCCUGGUCUUAUGAAGAAAGAAUUUUCUUUCACCAUUAAGUAUUAUGUUGUCUGUAGGUUUUUCACAUAUGUUCAUAGUGGGUUGAAGCACUCUCUUU